CAGGCCAUUAGUUGCAGUAUCCAAUACGUCUACAAAGGGCUUGCAGACAUUGGCUGUAGAAGAAGACUGAUUGAAUCCCAGGUGAGGUCCAGAGCGGCCCGUCACCCAAGCCUGCGUUGGUAACGUCAGCAUGCACGGGAUCAUCAGAACCAAAUGAGGCCUUCAGCGCUCUGUCUCGCUCUAUUCCCCGCUGCCCCAUCACAAUCUGGCUCCAUCCUGUGCAGCUGAUCAUCCAGAGGUUGGGGUCAUCUCUCUGUGUAUGUCUGUGUGUGUUUCAGAGUUUGAGGGGGUCGGGAUAUGCAUGUGAUCAAAUGCCUCUAUGUGGUUUAUGUGUGUGUGUGUGUGUGUGUGUGUGUGUGUGUGUGUGUGUGUGUGUGUGUGUGUGUGUGUGUGUGUGUGUG
ensembl:lncRNA